CUGAAUGAUGUUAAUGCCGGGUGCCGAUGCCAUUUGAUUUUUGUCUAAAUUUGCAUACAUACACAAUGAUGUGAGUAAAUGAGCAUGUAAUAUUAAAGACUGAACAAGCACUGAUGCAUAUAUCUUCAUGGUCUCUAGUUCUGUGUUACCUGCCGAUCUCCGAACAGCAGAGGAAUUGAAACGAGAGAAAGAUGGCAAUGGUGAUCAUCUCCUUUGACCUUGGGACUGCAAGCAUAGAGUGCAAUCCACAAGAGCAACACCCUGAACGAUUCAUCUGGCACAAGUGGUCCAAGGGAAGUACGGAGUAUGGCACUAGAAUAGGAAGAAAUUUUGCCCCGCUGGAGGAUGAAUUCUCAGGUUAAAGGUCAAGAAUAUGCGACCAGAACCAGUGGAUGGAUGAGUAUGGGCCCAGGACAGGCUGGUCGCUAUCACCUAGGGCCGAGCCAUUACAGGGGUUUCUUUCGACCGGUUACUGCUCUUUGGGAGGAGACCAGAGGACCGCUGAAAUAAAUAAAUGCAUUCGAAAUUCAGUGUCGUCAACCACUUUCAGACCUAUAUGUCAAAACCUUUUCAUGAUUCUAUAUAUUUCAAACCUUCAAUCAAUCAAGCAGAGCUUUCUUGCUUGAAUUUAUUAGCCAGUGAUGUUAUAAUCUGGUUGCAUGGUGCUUACGUUUUCUUUUAGCGACUCUACUCCACUGCAUGAUAGCAGCGAAGUAUUAACAAUCGCAAACAGACAGACUAUAAAUUGGCUACGCCCACGCAUGAGGAUUAUAUAACCACUAGCUAGUAAAUUCAAGCAGAAAAAUUGAGGUAUCCUGCUCUGUGAUGUUUCUAUAGUACUAUUCAUUGGUGAAAUGAUAAUAUCAUAUGAAACUUUGAGGAAAUUUAGUUCAUAUAUAACUAUUUCUUACUGAUUGAUUGUCAAAAAUCUUUGAUGCUGUGAAUUUCUAAUGUAUUUAUUUUGGUGGUCCACUGGUCUGGAAGAAAUCGGACCUUGACCAGCAGCAUCAGUCAGUCUCUGUGGACCAGUUUGUUCGACUCCGCCUUACCAUCAACGAUCAACCAUUGAUGCAUGUGACAUUGAAAGAUGCCCAGUCUGUUACAACGAUCAGAGUGAGCUGUUAAACAAAGGACAGAAUGCUAGAAGAGGGACAAAGAGACUCUGACCUCCCAGUCAUUAUUUUUCCAAACGUAAAGGACCUAUUGACCUUGCAUCAGAGGCUACGCAGAUGGUGAAGGCUAUGAAAGCACUGGUUUAAUCAGAAGGUGUUUAUAAAAGGAGAUCAUUGGUGCCCCUACAACCAGGUGUGACCCCUCCCAUGUGCUCCCUCAGUACACAGCCAUACCAACCAACCAAUCAGCUUCUCUGCAUCCUCAUCACCUGUCCAUAGUCCAGUGUCCUGCCCACCCAGCAGCCGCCCCUCAGGUGGUGUCCAUGAAAGGAGAUUAUCAGUGCCCCUACCACCAGGUGUGACCCCUCCCCUGUGCUAUCUCAGUACACAGCAACUAUACAUGUACCAACCAACCAAUCAGCUUCUCUGCAUCCUCAUUGCCUGCCCAUAGUCCACUGCCCCGUCAACCCAGAAGACGACUCUCCAUUGAUCCCCAGGUCAGGCUGAAGACUGAUAAGCUUCAGGUGCUGUAGCUGUUUUAAGAAGGGAGAGCAUGCUAGAAGACCGUAGAACAGAGGACCACCCGGUUAUCUUGCCAAACAUAGAGGACCUUGCAACAGAGGCAAAGAAUACGGUGAAGCAAACCUUUUGUGUGACAGGGCUAAGAUGUCUGGAGGAUCAAACAUCAUUUUCUAGAAGUCAAAUUCAGGUUUUCUAUUUAAAUACAGGAGGUUUCAAUCAAUGUAAAUUAACUAGAUAUCGGUGUAGACUUUAUGUCAGUUUGUCCAAACUUUUUAGUAUCAACUACUGUAGGGGCCUUGUAUAUGUACUUCCUACUCAUGAACCAACUUUUGUAUGUAUGUUAUGGUGAUUUUUGUGUAGAUCCAAGGAGCAGGUCCAAGCUAUUAUUUCUUUAGUAUCUUUUAUUAUCUGUUGUUUCAUUGACAAUUUGUAAAGAAUGGUUUCAUAAAAUCAUUGCUUAAACCCUUUAUAGCCCACGCUAUUUCAAGAUUGCAUAGUCGGGGGGGGGGGGGGGGAGGCUUAUUUGACCCUUCCCCCCUCACUCUCAUUGGGGGAUCGCGCUAUCAUGACAAAAAUUUAUAUGCAUAUCACCCAUGACAUAAUCUCCAUGAUUGGAUAGUUUAUCUUACAAAAAUUAUUCAAAUUUAUCAAAUUUGCUAAUUGAUGCAUAAAAUCAUAAUUUGGCUGCAAAUCUUUUAGUUUAGCUCCAAAACUGCUAGAUUUUGUUCUGGAAACCCUUAGGAAUCUUAGAAAAUGUAUAUUAAGAAAUGGUGAUAUCAAAAUAUUUUUUACUUAUUUUUAUUUUUUCAAUCUGUAAAAGUGGAAAUAAUUACACAUUCAUGAACAACAAUUAUUCAAAUUCAUUUUUAAUCAAUUAACUAAUAUAACUGAUGAAAUCAUAAUUCAGCUGCAAAUCUUUUCAUGUAGCUACAAAACUUCAAUUUUUUUUUUGUCUGGGCACCCUUUUUAGGAUUCUUAACAUUUGAAUAUUAAAAAACUAUAAAAAAAAUAAGAUUUUUUAUUUCUGAUGUAUUUCUGUUUUCAAACUUAAUGUUUUUUAAUAUAUUUUUGAUGGAAAUUGUCAGGGAUUCUGUAAGUCAUAUAUAAGAUGAAAUCAUUUUUUUCCAAUCAUUAACAGUAAAAAUAGUUGAAAUACAUUCAUGGAUUUUUGCUAUUUACCAGAUUUGCAUUAAAUUUGUACAUGAAAUCCCAUUUUAGAGCAAUUUUGGGUCUUGAAGGAAAUAAGUCUAGAAACAUCGCGGCACAAUUUUUUUUUGCAUUACAGAUUUAUCAAAAAAAAAAAUUGAAGGGGGACAACCCCCCCCCCUGGGCUAGUCAGGGUUUAGGUUGGAAGUAGUGCAAGACUCAUGCUCUAUUAGCAUUAAGAUGAUAAAUUAACUACAUGUAGGACUGUUAGAUAUUCAUAGACUCAUAUUAGUCUGCAACUUUACUCUUUUUCUUUUUUUUGUUGUUGACUAUUCUGCAAAAGUGGAUCCAAAGGUUUUCCAGAGAUUUUCCCUAUUGAGUUUUAUCUCUGGUUUUUUACCCUGGAUCUACUCGUCGUAGAAUUGUUCAACACCCCCCACCCCCUCCGAAUUUUCUGCAUGAUGCCUAAAUAAUUUUUAUUUUAUCAUGAAUAUCAUUGAAAUGUUCUGUGCAAUAUGAAUUAUUGCACCAUUACAACAAAGAGAGUUACAAUAUGAGCAUUCUUAUUCUCAGUAUUAUCAAAUUUGAUAGAGAAAAGGCAUAUUUUUAUAAUGCACAGAAUAUCAUAUGUGUUGUCUAUUAUCAAAAGAAAUUAUUCAUUAAGGCAUAUGACUAAAUAUUGGGGAAAAACCCAAUAAAUUUGUUAUGUGUCCAGUGAGACAGAUGAGUAUACCUUGAUACAAUAUUUUAGAUGAAAACACAAAUUCCAUUGAAUUUCUAAAUGAAAUAUUUUUUAGCUGUAUAUUGUUUAGUAGUUUCCAGUCCAACUCUUAGUCACAAAAUUGUGAUUAGCUCUAUUGAAAUAGGCAUUGUAAAUUUGCUCUCAGUAUGUGCAAGAAGAAAAAAAAAACUAAUGAAACCUCACAUCGAGGGAUUCAUGCGUAACCAAAAUGUUCUGAUCUUAAAAACCAUGAAAUUAAUUAUCUAAUCAGUAAAAGUAAUUAUUUUAUUGAUUUAUGAAUUUUCUUGUCACACAAGUUGCAUUGGAUUUGUAUAUGAAAUUUGUGCAAUUCUGACUUGCACUCACAAAAUAUUAUGUAAUGUGGGAACCCUGUGUGAGACUUUGCCAGCUAGGUCUCAGAAGCUGCGAGAGACUAAAAAGAAAAAUUUACGAAAUGAAGUGGAUGCUGCCUUUUGUCUUACAAACAUAUUGCUUUUUGCACAAAAUGCUUAGGGAAGGAGUUACCAAGCCCCAACCCCCAGUCGUAAAAUUUACGGUUACGGUGUUUUUGCUUACUUUUGUUGCAUUAUGGUCAUUCAAUGCUUGUUCAAUUUAUAUUGGCCAGGGUAGGAAAUCAUUGUUAUUUUUUCACAUUUGGGCGAUUGGUGUGUUUUGGAGGCUAUUGUUUCAUUUGAAGGGCUACAUGUAUAUUACACCAUAGCUUCAGACCUUCAAGUAAAUGGUCAUAUAAUUUCUUUAUUCAUUGAAGUUUGUGCACAUAUGUAAAGAAAAUAUAUGUUUGGUAUAUUAUGUUGCAUGUGUAUCUAUGUAUAUUUUCACUUGAAUAUAAGAUAAAAUUUCAAUAUAGGAAAAGGCAAUUUUUUUUCUAUAGAGAACAUUUCUUUAUUGAGCAUAGAUGGAGAAAAUUUAGAAGGCGCUAACAAUUUCAAACCACAAUGAUAGGAGAAUAGAGUCCAGCCAACAGGGCAUGAGCAAAUUGCCCCAUCAUGGCAUUUGAUUAUUACAUUGUACAUUCAGAUGGAAAAUGGAAAAGAGAAAAUCUUUUGCUGCUAUAUAUAAUACAAUACAAUACAAUUAGUGAGUGUUUCACAAAUAAAUCCUAAGUAAAAUCAUUUGUAAGUGCCAACACAAUUUAAUGGGCAAUCUUAUUGAUAAUCCGCAGUAUAUCACAGAGCGUGAUCCUUUGGUAUCCAGCUAUAAAUAUGAUGAUCGCUUGUUUUCCACACGCGAAUGGAAUUUAAGAGGGAGUAUGUAGGCGUAGCCACAGUUAAAUUUAUGUGAAACACCCCUUUGAUAUGUCUCGUAUGUCACAUCCAAUGUUAGAUAGCUUGGACCUGCCCUAUAUAGGGACAGUGAUUUUCUGUUCACCAGUUAAUCAAAAUUGAAAAUCAGUUUUGGUUCUUUCCUUUUCAUGUGAAAAUUAAUUGAAUUUUCCUUUGCAAAAUGGAAUUCAUGUUAUUGCUGUGUUCAUUUUCAAUGAAAAAACAGAAUUUCCAUUUUAGAUCAAUUUUGAAAUGGAAUUACAGGUUUCCAGAAACAGAAAAACAAUUUUUUUAAAGGAAAAAUCACUGUCCCUUACUGUAGUGUAUAUGUAUGAUUGUUUGUACUCUAUACUUGCUUUGUAUCUAUGAUUUUCAUAUUUUUUGUAAAUUUUCAUUAAAAAUUGUAAGGCCGGCAGCCGAGAAGAUUCAUUCAAGUUGGAGGACCGUAGCAGUUGACCUCAUUGAUUGAUGGAGUAAGCCUGACACCUCACAAACAUGGCUCCCUGUCUGCUUUGAGCUGGGGUCUUCCUGCCAGAAUCACACAAUUGGUGACAUCACUACCAAGAGUUCUAUAUUUCAGUGUGCAGAGAAGGACACUGGACACUGCUGUGCAUGGUAUACCGCAUCCAUAAUGUAAGUGCUUUAUUUCUGAUUUCAAUGAUAUUUUGUGUAGCUGAGAGUGCCAUUGGUUUUCCACAAAUUAUUACUCCGAGGGUAAAAUUAUCAUAGAAAGUAUUGGGCAGCAAUUUCACACACAUUGGGCUGUAAAUCCGCAUUUUGCCUCAAUUUCCUUUUUUAAUUCAUGAAAUUUUCUUUAAUCUUUGGCAUCAAAUUCUUUUCAUGAAAGUCAAUCAAUACAAAAAAUAAUAUUCCCGACGGCAAUUUUGAUAAAAUUUCUUUCUUACCUCAAAAAUACUUGCAUUAUCUGUUGAUCCUUUGAUUGCCGUCUUUCUUUAUAUACUUCCCUGUACUAUCUGCUCUCGCUGCUGCUCUAAAUUCAUCUUUGUUUCACAUCGUCGCAACAUAGUAUAUGACAUGACUGAUAUAAUAAUGUGCUAAUAGGACAUACAUGUAAAAGGUUAGGAGAUUUAUAUAUAUUUAAAGACUUUGAUCUCAUUUUUAAAAUUAAUUGCAGAGCCAUGAUAGAGCAGUGAGAAUUAGUUUGCAAUAAAUCUAUACCUUUUUUCUGUACGUAUUGAUUUUUCGGACAGACUCAUUUGAAGUCAUUCUUCAAACUGUUUGGUCCUUUCCCCAUUCACCAUAAACCUAAAUGUUUGUAAAAAUGCUGAGUGUGUAUCCAUCAUGUAAACACACAAUGCGAGAGAUUUAGCCAGACCUGUAUUGGAUGAUAAUGAUAUUGUGAUGAAGGUGGCUUCUCAAUAUCGCUUCGUCCGCCAAAAAAAAAAAAAAAAAAGCAACAACAAAAAAUGGCUUCUAUACUCAACUUUGAAUAAAAAGUUGAACCCAUUUUUAUGAGGAUUGUGUGCUUCAAUGGUUUUUCCACAAUGUUAUAAAUAGAAAAUAUUCCUUCAAUCAGUGCAAUCCAAGUUGUCUGGAAUCUAGUUUUAGAAGUGCAAUGUCAAAUUUUGAUUUCUAUCUUGCCAGCAAGUGCUCUUUACUUUUCUAGAGCCUUGCCCACUGUAGUGUUUCUAGUUGACCCUUAUCGAUAUUUUGUAGCGUGCCUCUUGCACAUUUGUAAAAUCCAUUUGUUGGAGCAGUUUAGCACAGACGGCAUUUGGGUUUAGUGGCAGGGAUCAAGGUCGAUCAAGAACCAGUUGGCACUCCAAAGAAGAGAAGAGAUGAACUGUUGACCUAUGUUUGCAGAGGGAGCUGUGAACUUCUGGAGUAGUGUUUCAAUUGCAUGUGACAUUUUUGUAUUUGGUGUUUGAAAAUCUGGUAAUGUUGUUGUAAUCAUCAAUACUCUCUGACCAAGAGGAAUAGUGUUCUUUUCAACCUAUUUGUUGGUAUCCAGUGUUCUUCAAAACAUCAUGCAAGUUGCAUGACUAGAAAUUCAAAUGGUGAUAUGAGGGGUCUGUGCUUUUGAUUGUUUUACUGAUACAUAGUGCCUUACAGGUGGUCUACAUGGCUCUUGCUAUCUGAGCUUAUUCACAUCUUGAAUUCAUCCACAUUUCAGUCUGUGGGUAGAGCAGUAUUCCACCAGAUUGUCAACCUGAAGAAGUCUUCAUUUUCCAAAUUGUCCAUAUUUGUUCGAUCAUUGCAUUGUCUGGUAUUUUCCUCCAGAGAACAUUUAAAGUCAUAUCCUUUGUGAAUGAGUGUGCAUUUACCGGUAUUCACUUGGCUGAAUUCAACAAGGGUUGCUGUAUUUGGGAAGGCACUUGAUGGAACUUGGCAUUUCUGAUUUGGUUGUCUUUUAAAUUGCCAUUAUCUCUCUCCUGUGAUUUGAAAACUUUGGACAAGCCUAAAAAAUUGGUUCAAAUCAGGCUUUUAUACCUUCUGUGGUCAUAGAGGAUUGUAACAUUGCUUGCAGGAAGCAGCCAGGGUAGGACGACUCUUCGAGACCUGCGAGUUCUGACCAUGAUUAUCAAUGGAAGAUGCUUGUAAUUUCUUGAAAAGCUUCAUCAGCACCCACACAUGGUGCCAUCACCCUCAAGGGUUCAGAGCGAAUGAUUGAUCAAGGCUUGACCGUGGUAUAUUAUUCAAUUAAAGAGGAUUUUCGUACCUUGAAUAGCCUCAGCAGGAUUUUGAUAUAGAUCUACGAUUGUGACAUGGACGAAGGGGCACUCUAGCCUAUGAGUAUCUCAGUUUGUAAAGUUUUUUUUUUUUUGAAGAUAAGGAGUAAUUGGACGACGACUUUCUGUAGAUUGUUACAACGGUUCCCGACAUCCAGUCUGGAAUGAAUUUUGGAAAUUCUAUUUGGUUCCGUCUGUGAAGUUUGACAUUUUUUUGUGCAGAAGAUUGUUAUUGACCUUUUGCCUAAAGCGAUGGAUUCUUACAUCUAGUCUGGAGUGAGCUGUGGAAAUGUCGAUUUGGUGCUGUUUUUGAAGUUCCUCAAUUUUCUUUUGGCUGAGGAUAGUUUUUCCUACAUCUAUUUUGGAACGAGUUUUUGAAAUUUCAUAGGCUGCUGUCUCAAAAAUUUGACAUUGUGCUUUACUACUAGAUAACAUGCAUUGUACUGUGAUGAUUGAUGGUUCAUUGUGGGAUAUAGAGUGCACUUCCUCAGGACGAGCCUAUCUUGAGGGUUCGACCUGUUAGAUCUAGAUUCACAAUAUCUUAUCAUUCUGAAUGCAAUAGCUUUGUCUCUCAAAAUUGUGUGGAAGAAGUGUUGGAUGCAUACGCAGACCAAAAAAAAUGGUUCUUGUAUGAUGGUGGAUAAAUAAAAUGAACUUGAAGGAGAAACAAUGAAAACAAAAGAAAAAGAAUACAGAGAAACCAUCAAAUAAUUGUUUUCACUGGUGGUUUAUUUCUAUUAACCAAAAUGCAGUGUUCAUUGAAGUUCUUAAAAACACAAUUAUAUUUGUACAGAAAAACGGUGUAUUUAAUUGCAAAUAUGUAAUAUUUCCCAUCUGCUCAGGCUACUGAUCACUGGAAAAGAAAAGGCCCCCCCCCAAAAAAAAAAAAUUGAAUAAAUAAAUAAAUGAAAAUAAAAAAAAUAUACAAAAGGACAGAAUUGUUCUAAUAUUUCCCACCUGCUCAUUUGAAAAGAAAAGGCAACCCCCCCCAAAAAAAAUGAUAAUAAUAGUAAUGAUAAAGGUAAAUAAAUAAAUAGAUGAAUAAUAAUAAUAAAGUAAUGCAAAAAAGACAAAAUUAUAAUGAAAACUAGUAAUAAUACUGUAUGAUUUAAUUAUUUAGAACAUUUUAAUAUCAGUCAUGUUUUUAGAUUUUGAAAUGUGAAAUGAAGGAAGAUUAGCAGAUUUGGGGAGCACUUCAUGAAGAGAUUUGUCAGUGAUUAUCACCGACUAAUUUGCUAUUGACCAAUCAGAUGCAGUGAUUUACAAUAGCUCAUAACAUCUGUGGGUGAAAAUCACAGACAGAAAUCUUCAUGAAAUGCUUCCCUGGGUGGAUAGUACAGGGAGGUAUGGAGAGAAGGCACAAUUAAUGGAUUAACUGGUAAACAUGUGGAAAGGAGAAGAG